rnacentral:rRNA from 1 species
UAGGGAAUCUUCGGCAAUGGGGGCAACCCUGACCGAGCAACGCCGCGUGAGUGAAGAAGGUUUUCGGAUCGUAAAGCUCUGUUGUAAGAGAAGAACGUGUGUGAGAGUGGAAAGUUCACACAGUGACGGUAACUUACCAGAAAGGGACGGCUAACUACGUGCCAGCAGCCGCGGUAAUACGUAGGUCCCGAGCGUUGUCCGGAUUUAUUGGGCGUAAAGCGAGCGCAGGCGGUUUAAUAAGUCUGAAGUUAAAGGCAGUGGCUUAACCAUUGUUCGCUUUGGAAACUGUUAAACUUGAGUGCAGAAGGGGAGAGUGGAAUUCCAUGUGUAGCGGUGAAAUGCGUAGAUAUAUGGAGGUAGACCGGUGGCGAAAGCGGCUCUCUGGUCUGUAACUGACGCUGAGGCUCGAAAGCGUGGGGAGCAAACAGG